ACCCACAGCCUAUCACCCUGCAGCCCAAGACCGGUUACUCACUGAAGCUAAGCAGGGCUGAGCCUAGUUAGUACCUGGAUGGGAGACCACUAGGGAACACUAGGUUGCUGUUGGAA
rnacentral:rRNA from 1 species